AACCUUUUGUAUCCGUGCUGAGAUUUCGUCACAUAUGGCUGAUGAGACUUCCAAGAUAAGUGAAGCG
rnacentral:pre_miRNA from 1 species